rnacentral:tRNA from 1 species
GGUCGUCAUGGCGGGGUUGCCGUUGCCGGGGUCGCUGCUGGCGGUUUCCGGUGUGGGUGUGGUGCCGGUGGUCAGGUGCCAGUCGUGGAGGAUCU